rnacentral:rRNA from 1 species
AGAGUUUGAUCAUGGCUCAGGACGAACGCUGGCGGCGUGCCUAAUACAUGCAAGUCGAGCGAGCUUGCCUAGAUGAUUUUAGUGCUUGCACUAAAUGAAACUAGAUACAAGCGAGCGGCGGACGGGUGAGUAACACGUGGGUAACCUGCCCAAGAGACUGGGAUAACACCUGGAAACAGAUGCUAAUACCGGAUAACAACACUAGACGCAUGUCUAGAGUUUGAAAGAUGGUUCUGCUAUCACUCUUGGAUGGACCUGCGGUGCAUUAGCUAGUUGGUAAGGUAACGGCUUACCAAGGCAAUGAUGCAUAGCCGAGUUGAGAGACUGAUCGGCCACAUUGGGACUGAGACACGGCCCAAACUCCUACGGGAGGCAGCAGUAGGGAAUCUUCCACAAUGGACGAAAGUCUGAUGGAGCAACGCCGCGUGAGUGAAGAAGGGUUUCGGCUCGUAAAGCUCUGUUGGUAGUGAAGAAAGAUAGAGGUAGUAACUGGCCUUUAUUUGACGGUAAUUACUUAGAAAGUCACGGCUAACUACGUGCCAGCAGCCGCGGUAAUACGUAGGUGGCAAGCGUUGUCCGG